rnacentral:tRNA from 1 species
GGCCGAGUAGCUCAGUUGGUUAGAGCAUCGUGCUAAUAUUUGACUUAAAUACAGUGUUACGUGAAGGUCUUGGGUUCGAUCCCCACGUUGGCCA